rnacentral:sRNA from 1 species
AGGGUUGUCGAUCUGGCCCCUACUUAAGUCCAGAUCUAAUGCUAAAAAGGUAAUUUAAAAUG